CCCUGCAGAUUCAACAACAUUAAAACAACAGUCAAUUUCUUCAUCGCUACAAAUUUUGUACAGAUGUUACUCAAACUGUUAAAUAUUUAGACUGCAUUUAUGAUGUUCACGGUAAAACACUUUUGGUGCUUUUUCUUCAUCCAAAUCUUUUUGCUAGCUACGCACCAUAUUUUUCUGACAUUUGAAAAUGUUGCUGCGUACUAGUGCGUCGUGCAAGGAGGUAAUAAAAAAGUAGAAUUUAGUACUUGUGGUUAAACAGUAUCAAUUAUUUGCUCGUGUUUAAAGUCAAAUGAUUUUAUAAACUCACCUCAAUAAAAUGAUGUAAAUUAUAAACAUUUAACUACGUUUGUAUUAUAGUGAUGCAAUCUCCAGAUUUUCAUCGUAUUCAUAGAGGUAUGCCAUUAAAACCACCAAAUUUUAGAAUAUAUGAUUAUUAUUUAACGAAUAUAAAGUAUAGAAAUGAACAUAAACUAUAUGUUCUUUAUAUGCAAAAAUCAAUUGAUCCAGAAUUAAUCACAUACAUGUGUACAUUAAUGAAUCUGAGACAAAACACUAUCGAUCAAUAGCCUUGCGAUCGAUAGGUCAGUUUUGUUUUAGCGAAAUUAAGAAUAGGUAAAACGAAAUCGAUAAUAUAAACCCUGUUUUCCGUAUAUAUACCAAUAUAAAGAUUUUAAAUUAUGUUUCUUCGUUUUACAUAUCCUAGUGUAUAUGUAUAUUUGUUCUAGAUGUUUCAUCGGUAUCUUUAAAAUAAUCAUACAUUUGCUCUAUAAAGUCGUUCACAAUUAUUUGUUUUUUCAAGAUCAUCGUAUGUUAUUUUUUACAUGCAACGCACGCCACGCGUAGCCAACGAACAUUACAAUAUUGACGCGAUUAAUUAUUUAGUAUUUGUUGUACUCGAAGUGUCUCGUCUGUUCAGUGUACUUGGAUUUGUAUUUUUUUAUUGAUGGAGAAAAUUGCAGGAAAGGCAGUAGGUAGCACAGUUUAUUUGUGGAACAAUUAUAGCUACAACAAAGACAAUCGUAGUGAGUGCAUUUAUCGUUGCGAUACUAGACGAACUACACGAUGUUGUGGGGCUGUAAUGGAUCUUGGUGAUGAAACUAUUAAGUUAUUAAAACCGCAUAAUCAUUCCGAGGUAUUUCAUAGAGGCGAUUAGGAAAAAAUGAAAAAUGAAAUGCGUCAAAUGUGCCGAGAAGCAUUAAUACCACUGAAGCAAAUUUUUUAUGAUAUCUGUAGGAAAUAUCCAGAUGCUCCAGCGUAUAGAUCUUUUAAUAGAUUAAGGUCAACCUUGCGAAAGAUACGAGCGAGUAAUAAACCAAAAAUUCCACAAACAUUAGAAAUUUUGUACCAGGGGUUACAAAGUUACGAACCUCUACAAAUUUUGUGAAAAUUCAUUUUGUAAAAUCAAAAAUAUGUGAAACUGCAAUAAUACUUUCAACUGAUGGUUUGUUGAAAAGUUUAUCCAAAGCCAAGGAAUUGUUCAUUGAUGGCACAUUUGCAGUUUUACCCAAAGAACCUCAGACUGGACAGCUCUACACCAUCCAUAUGCGCUACAUGGAUAAUGUAAAAGCAAUUAUUUAAUAUACAGGGUGUACCAGUCUAACUGUUACAGAGCUGUAACUCCU